UCUUCAAAUGAUGAUCCCAAGCCUUCUGGCAAUCUGCUCCUCAUAAAUAUUUGAAUAAAUAUUUUAAGAGAGGAACU
rnacentral:tRNA from 1 species